ensembl:lncRNA
AUGAUUAUCGCCUUUGCCGAUGCUGUACACAUGCGUAGUGCUUUCCCACACCUGGGUCCUUUCAACCUAGUUAACCUAGGCAAUAAUUAUUAUUUUCAUCUUACAGUUGAGGAAACGGAGGCUCAAAUGCUCAAGUCAAUUUCCCAGGGACAUGGGCUGAGAAAAGGAGUCCAAAAUGGCAGAAAGAUGCACGGCAAUGUCCUCAUUGUGUCAGGCAUGGCUUGGGUCCCUGUACCCCACUGAAGAAAUUUGGAGGUGCCAAAACGAGCCACAGAAAUGAAUCGAAGUAAUUAAAGGUGAGGGUAUAGGAAAGCGAAAUGAAUAAAGAUUGUUUAGGCCAGAGAAUAGAAGACUAAGGGGGAGGGGAGAGAAGGGAAACCUUACAAUUCUGAAUGAUUGGUGUCAUGGUUUGUGUGGCUAUAACAGAAUGCCAUGGACUGGGUGAUUUAUUAAUAUAAUAAAGAGAAAUUUAUUGGCUCAUAGUUUGGGAGGCUAGAAAGUCCAAGAUCAAGAUGCUGGCAGGUUUGGUGUGUGGUGAGGGCUUGGUCUCUACUUCUAAGAUGGCGCCUUGAAUGCUGCAUCCUCUGGAGGGGAGGAGCACUGUUCCUCAUAUGACAGAGGAAUGGAAGAGCAAAGAGAAGGCAAGAGUCAGGGGCUGAACUCACCCUUUCAUAAAGAGCCCACUCCUGAGCUAACAAACCCACUCCCACAAUAAUGUCAUUAAUUCAUUCAUGAGGCAGAGCCCUCAGGACCUAAUAAUCUCUUAUUAGGCCCACUUCCCAACAUUGAUGCACUGGGGAUUAAGUUUCCAACAAAUGAAUUUUGGGGAACACAUCCAAACCAUAGCAUUGAGUCUUUUGAGAAGGACGGCUGAUGUGUGCUCUUUCUGCCAGGAACAUGGACCAACUCAAAUUCCCAUAGUGGGCUUUAUUCAAAGUAAGUUCCAGUUAUGAUCUACAUUUCCAUUCUUAGAGAUAUUUCAACUCAAUUGGAGAUAAUUUUGGUGCGGACUCCUGCACUUUAAAUCAUGGAGCACAAUCUUCCAAAUACCUUUGUGUUCCUUUUUUAGGCUAGAGAAUUUUAAAAUACAGUGAAUGGUCAAAUCAGAUUAAUUUCAUUUAAUUAAAUAUUGGGGCUCUUUCCAAUGAUUUUGGGCUGCAGUGUUUGGAACUGCCCCAAUUCUUCCCCAAGUAGCAUGAGACCCAGUGCUCUGUGGUGCUCAUUUAUGGAGGUUUGUCCUGUGCUUGGAUGUUGACUCUGGCACUAGAGUUAAUAUGACAGCAGCCUAGCCCAGCAUUUGAGAGGUCCCCUGUCUCUUUGGGACCUGAUCAAGUGUCUUGCAUUUAGGGAGUUCCCAAUUAUAGGACAUAACUGAAAUAUCAGCCCUUUUGGCAUGCACUCUCUUCCCCUACAACAAUCCUGACUCCAGGCUGAUCACUGGGCCCCUUUUACCCCGAAAGUAUCUUCUCAUACCUGAGGCAUUAGUUAGCAAUGCCAUAAGAAGAAGGUACUGCCAAGCUCCCUGGACCCUGCAGCUUUCUUAUUCUAUGAAUAGAAUUACAGAAUCUAGGCCAGAGAACCAUGGCAUUUUCAACUCCUCCCAAACCCUCCCCACCCCCACAUCCCAGUAGUAGGCUAGAUAGAUCUUACCAAAUAUCUCUGAAAUAUUAUCCGUUUUCAUCUUCAUUAUCACUGCCUCAAUCUAUCCUUUUCCCUUUUCUUGAAUGAAUGCAUUGGCCUGCUGGCUUCCUCCAGUCAAGUCCUUUUCCAGUCCCUUUUAUCAUAUAACUAUUUGUUCAUUCAUUCAUUCAUUCAUUCAUUCAUUCAUUCUUUCAUCCAUCUAUUCAUUCUAUGAGAAUUGACUUUAUCUUUGUGCCAAACACACUCAAGAAAUGCCACAAGACUGUGGGCUAUUAAUUAUAAAGAAGAUACCCAGGAAGUCGGCCCUCUUGGUUGAAAGGAAUUGGAGGAAUCCAAGGUGGAGUUCCAAAGAAAGAUGAACUUAAGGUGGGCCUUGAAGUGUGCAUAGAUAAUAUGGAAAAUGCUGUGAGUCAGCCAUCCAGCUGUCAUUCCCCACUGUCUUGCUCAGUGAUGAUAUUGUUCACCCUCUCAUAUGCUUGGGGAAGUAGCUUACAACUCCAGCCAGAGGGGGUCAAUCCUGAUUGAGUCAAACAAAUUAAGGCUAUUCUCCUUGCAGUGAUUAGCUUAGGCAACAAAAUCUUAAAGGGAAUGACUGCUGGGAGACAGAAAAAAGAACGGCCCCUCUAAAAGGUAUGGUUGUGUAGACUGUUAGUUGCCAUGUGGGAUUCCUGGAGCACU